UACGAAGGGGGCUAGCGUUGCUCGGAAUCACUGGGCGUAAAGGGCUCGUAGGCGGCCAACUAAGUCGGACGUGAAAUCCCCAGGCUCAACCUGGGAACUGCGUCCGAUACUGGAUGGCUUGAAUUCGGGAGAGGGAUGCAGAAUUCCAGGUGUAGCGGUGAAAUGCGUAGAUAUCUGGAGGAAUACCGGUGGCGAAGGCGGCAUCCUGGACCGACAUUGACGCUGAGGAGCGAAAGCUAGGGGAGCAAACGGG
rnacentral:rRNA from 1 species